rnacentral:rRNA from 1 species
CCUACGGGUGGCAGCAGUGGGGAAUAUUGGACAAUGGGGGGAACCCUGAUCCAGCGACGCCGCGUGAGUGAAGAAGUAUUUCGGUAUGUAAAGCUCUAUCAGCAGGGAAGAAAGAAAUGACGGUACCUGACUAAGAAGCCCCGGCUAACUACGUGCCAGCAGCCGCGGUAAUACGUAGGGGGCAAGCGUUAUCCGGAUUUACUGGGUGUAAAGGGAGCGUAGACGGCGAUGCAAGUCUGAAGUGAAAGGCGGGGGCCCAACCCCCGGACUGCUUUGGAAACUGUAUGGCUUGAGUGCAGGGGAGGUAAGUGGAAUUCCUAGUGUAGCGGUGAAAUGCGUAGAUAUUAGGAGGAACACCAGUUGCGAAGGCGGCUUACUGGACUGUAACUGACGUUGAGGCUCGAAAGCGUGGGGAGCAAACAGGAUUAGAUACCCCGGUAGUC